rnacentral:misc_RNA from 1 species
CCCUAGCCCUAAUUGAGCAGCAAGUCUGAGCUUUUUAGAUUCGGCGCGGCGGCAAAGCCGCCGCGCCGAAUCUAAAAAAGCGAGUAGCGAAAGCAGGAAAAAGC